CCCAAAUGUUUCUCUCUUACGUCCAAUCCUCCUCCCGAUAUAAUCUUGGCAACCACUACCAAAGCCCUCCCGGAUCGAGAUCUGGAGCAUCCGAGAGAGGCCGUUGUCAACCAUCACACACCUGGCCUGGUAGCUCAGGAAGCCAAAUUCUUCCCUUCUUCCCCGCUGGGAGAGAAGGCCGUGCCACCUCUGGAAGCGAGCGACAGCAAUAAGUUUCUGCCCCGGACUCUCUCGCUACGGAAUUCCAUCACCAAAAUUCUUUCUGAAGCUGGGGAGUCUCUGGAGGAUGAGUGGGACUCCAUCGCCAACCUGGCUUCGGCUUGUAACAACAUCCUGGAAGCUCUCUCCCGCGAAGGCCAGCAUAUCCUGGAGAAUAGAGACGGCAGCACAGGGACCCAGAGAUGCGCCAGUCAGCCACAAGCGAUUGAUGAGUAAGAAGGAAAUUUCUCUCUUUCUCUCUCUUUCUUUCUCUCUCUCUGUAUCUCUCUGUCUCUCUCUCUG